rnacentral:rRNA from 1 species
UACGUAGGGUGCGAGCGUUGUCCGGAAUUACUGGGCGUAAAGAGCUCGUAGGUGGUUUGUCGCGUUGUUCGUGAAAACUCACAGCUUAACUGUGGGCGUGCGGGCGAUACGGGCAGACUAGAGUUCGGUAGGGGAGACUGGAAUUCCUGGUGUAGCGGUGAAAUGCGCAGAUAUCAGGAGGAACACCGGUGGCGAAGGCGGGUCUCUGGGCCGAAACUGACGCUGAGGAGCGAAAGCGUGGGGAGCAAACAGG